rnacentral:rRNA from 1 species
CCCCUCCUACGGGGGGCAGCAGUGGGGAAUAUUGCACAAUGGGGGAAACCCUGAUGUAGCGACGCCGCGUGAGCGAAGAAGUAUUUCGGUAUGUAAAGCUCUAUCAGCAGGGAAGAAAAUGACGGUACCUGACUAAGAAGCCCCGGCUAAAUACGUGCCAGCAGCCGCGGUAAUACGUAUGGGGCAAGCGUUAUUCGGAUUUACUGGGUGUAAAGGGCGCGCAGGCGGCUUGGCAAGUCUGAUGUGAAAGGCUGGGGCUCAACCCCAGUACUGCAUGGGAAACUGUUAGG